AUUGAACGCUGGCGGCAUGCCUUACACAUGCAAGUCGAACGGUAACAGGUCUUCGGAUGCUGACGAGUGGCGAACGGGUGAGUAAUACAUCGGAACGUGCCCGAUCGUGGGGGAUAACGGAGCGAAAGCUUUGCUAAUACCGCAUACGAUCUACGGAUGAAAGCAGGGGACCGCAAGGCCUUGCGCGGACGGAGCGGCCGAUGGCAGAUUAGGUAGUUGGUGGGAUAAAAGCUUACCAAGCCGACGAUCUGUAGCUGGUCUGAGAGGACGACCAGCCACACUGGGACUGAGACACGGCCCAGACUCCUACGGGAGGCAGCAGUGGGGAAUUUUGGACAAUGGGCGAAAGCCUGAUCCAGCCAUGCCGCGUGCAGGAUGAAGGCCUUCGGGUUGUAAACUGCUUUGUACGGAACGAAAGACUCUGGUUAAUACCUGGGUCCAUGACGGUACCGUAAGAAUAAGCACCGGCUAACUACGUGCCAGCAGCCGCGGU
rnacentral:rRNA from 1 species